CCUGGGAGCCUUAGUUCUGUAGUUUUCUGAAGACAGUCUUGCUCUCUUAAGCGCUUGUAUUCAGGCUAUUUAAGUGUGAAGUUUAGAUGGAUUUUGAGUGUUUAAUUGUACAACUGUUCCCUCUGCAAUAUCUGCAAUAUCUGUGGCACUGUACCACACCAUCCAUUUACUGUCAUCCAGUGCCCCAGCUAGGAGCUCAGGUGAGCUGCUGGUUUCCAUUGUGUGCUCAGUCACUUCCCUCUUUUGAGUCUUCUCCUGCAAAACCAUCUGUGUCCCAUGCCACCAGCCAGCACAUUUGCCUCCCCCAAGCUCUCAGGGGAUCUUUCAUGAGAUCCAUCUGAGAUUGAAAAAUUUCUCAGAUUUUCUUAUUUCUUUAUGCCUCUUAAAGGGGCAGUCAGUGUCCCUGAAACUGCUGGUCAUCACUGGAGUCCCUUCUACCUAUGCUGUAGGUGGGUAGCACCACUGGGCAGAGGCAGAGACUCAGCCCUUUGUGUAUUCAUUCCAGAGGCAGCUGAAUCUUUCCUGGUGGCCCCUCUGUCCCUGCUGAGGCUGCAGUGGUGGGUGAGCAUGUCCUGAACAGUCUCUGAGAGCCACAGAACUCCAUAUGGCUGUCCAGAGGGAGAAUGACCUCUGACAGACCUUCCCACCCUGUGUUGGGUGGUGAGUAAUCCUGAGGGGAAAGCAAAUGUGGGGAAAAGUUUGGGCAAAGUUCACACAUCUUCCCGGGGAAGGGAGCUUAGCCUUCCAUGUGUGGAUCCAUGCUCUGUACAUGAAUACAGUGACAUUUGUGUCUCUCUAACAUCUCCUCCUAAAACUGCUCCAGGAUGUCUUACUUGUUGCAUGUGGGUGGAUCUGGCAAUGCAUUUCUUGUGGACCAAGGCACAGAGUUCUUGGGAAAUGGUCUCAGGAGUUGUUAUUUCCAUAACUCUCAUCCUCCAGGGACUGGGGGCAGUGGGGACAGGAAGAAUUGUGAGACUAGCUAUUAUAAAAAGAAAAAAAACCACCAAAAGCUGUUGUCUCUAAUGCUGCAUGCUCGAGCUCUAAAAGUACUGUCUUCUAGAUGUCUGUAAAAGUCACUGACAUUGCCAUGUCACUGGAUUUGUUGGCUCAGCUUUUAAUUCUUUUUGUGGUGAGAAAGACACUGAAGGGUGGGGGGACAACUCCAAGAACUUUUAUCAGCAGUCCUUAAGCCUGGCACACUGGCUCACCCUGUUCCUCCACCUGCCCCCCCCCUCAUCCCUCUCAGCCCCAGUGGACCACACCAGCCAUCACAGGGAAUGCAAAUUAUUUUUACACAAUGCUAGUAUGUCAGGGAGGGCUGCCACACCAGAGAGGCCUUCAGAUGCAGUUCUAGGUGACAAGUGGGAAUCAAAAAAAGCUGGAUGUGCAGGUUAGAUUCUCUCUGCUUACCCCUGUGUUGGGUUUUGAUUGACAGACAAGAAAUAAAAAGUAAACAUAUUUUAGGAGGUGCAAAGGCAGUAGUGGCAGCAGGCCUAAGGAUCAGGCUUUCUGGACUGCUGUUCAGUUUUCAAGAGGAGCACUGGUGGGAUAGCAACAGACCGAAUUGCCACCCUGCCUGGUAUUUUUCUUUGCUUUUCUCUGCUUCUUUUUCAGCAGGGGGAAACAUUCGGUGUGGGUGCUUCUGAAAGGAAAGGCUUGGAGGCCCAUCUUCUGGCCUCCAACAAAAUAAUUUGUAUUUUUAAAAAUUUCCUGAUAAAUGAAACUUCUGCAUUGUUUAAGACAACAUCAAUGUGCAUGAGACAAAAUUAAUUUUAAACGGAACUGUUUUGAAAUGAAAAUGUUCUUUUUAGAUAAGGCCAGAAUAAAAUGCUUUGAAAAAUUUCUGCUCUGGUUUAGAAAGUGCAGUAUAGCUGAAAUGGACCUAUUCCUUGAGGAGUUUCUUAUAUUGUAAAAGUAACUUUUUCUACAUGAAAAGCACUUCCCCCCUCCAGUUAGAAGCCUAACAGCCCUGGUGUCUUGUGGUGGCAAUUUUCUGAGGUGCAUAAAUAACUUGUGUAGUUAUGAACACUUUACCCAGAACCAGAUUUAUCAUAUUUAAUGUCUUAAAUAUUGGUGGAACAACUCGUAUUAAAUCCUGUGUACGAUAAUUUUUUCCUGAUCAAUUCCAUAUUUAUAGCAUUAAUCAUUUCUCUGCAGUUAAUUAAGAGAAUUGAUGGCUCUUAGGCUUUCUUAAGCUGAUUCUUUAAAUAAAUAUAUCAAACGAGAUCUCCAUUACCCAAAUCAGACUCUGUCACAAUAGCUGUACAGGGGCCAAAGAGACAGGAGCACAGAUCCGGAGAGCAUCUACGGGGACUUGACAAACAAAAAAGUGAUAUUUCAAGCUUGUGUCUCGGUGGAAUGGGGAAAUAAUAGCAACAUAAUCAAGGGAGUGUUUGUGUAGCCCUUAUGGUUUAAAAACCUUUUGCCUCAGCCGCGCUAAUACUCUGAAACAAGGAUGCUGAUUAUAUGACCAAUUGUUUGGCAUGUGUUCCUAAACUGGUUUAUAAUUACCAAAUUAAUCUCUCUGAGGUAUUAAAAGCCUAUUUGCACAAUCUUUGUAAAACUAAAAGGGAAGUGAAGCACUUUACCUGUGUUGAUACAGAGCCCCGCAAAUAGUAACUAUUUGUUUUUGUAGCUGUUGUGGCUCUGGGAACAAGUAAAUAUAAACAGCAGGAAACACAAAUACAGAGGCAGUGCAAUUGGAGGCUGUCAGGAAGCAGUAUGGUGGCUUCAGGAGCUGAAUUCGGCUUGAAAUAAGCUUUGUCUCAGUAUGCGUAAGAGGCUUUGGCACUGUAUCAGACCUCUGGGGAAGCCACUCAGCAGGGUGGGGAUUACUAUAGUUUGUGCUUCCCAAUUCACGGCAAACUUGCUUCUCUGUCAUACUAGCGCAUUAACUCUCUCUGUCCCACCUCGGCGCUUUUUGUGGGAUUUGUUUGCUUUCUAGCAAACAGCCUGACAUCUGCUCGGGAGAGAGCAGAGAAAAACCCCCAGCACACAUGACUGAGCGGCUGCAGAGCGCGUCUCCUCGCUGGCGAGGGAGGCAGGGAGGCACAAAGAUGGCUAAUUUUGCCAGGCUGGAUAAUUCUCCUCUGCAAUGCAUGCGCCGUAGUUGCUCUGACAAUACCAUCUAAAAUGCAAAUGAAUUAUGCCUGCAUCGAAGAGCUGGCAGUGAGUGUUGUGUAGACCUGCUGCUGGCAUAAACUUCCUCCUAAUGGGGAUUUUUUUCUCUCUCUCUGUGUGAACACAUGGACUCCACUCUCUCUUUUGAGGUUUCACAAGGGUUAAUUCUCUCUUAGCUGUGGGAAUAUUUUUCGUUAGGAGCAACUCGAUGGUUAUUCCUAACACAUGACUAUCAAAGAGUCAGAUUAGCCGAGGGGGAGGGGAAAGACUCCUGAGUUUGCACUUCCUGUCUCUUAAUAAAGCUGAGAUUCCAGAAGUAUUUAAUAUCAUUGCGGUUUACAUAGGAAAUUGUCUGAACACUCUUAGGCAACCCUACCAAUAAUCAAGAGUGUACAGGUAAAAAGGCUUCUGAAUGCCUUCCACCACAUUCACUGCUUCAAAGAUCAUUGUCUUCAUCUUCCUGUCAGCUAAGAUAACCCUACUACCAACAGUCAGCACUGUACAAAUCAAAGGCCUUUGAAUGUCUUCCACCACAUGCCUUACUCCAAACCCCAUUGUCUUAAUCUCCCUGUCAGUUAAGGACCUUGGAGUUUCUGGCAGAUACUCCUCAGACUGGAACCCAGACAGCUUGUCUGAAUACAGAGAAAACAGUCUCCCUCAAUCCUGAAAAAAUUAGGAAAAAGGCACUGUAUUUGCUGAUCCUUGAAUAAAAACAUCCCUAAUGAGUCAACUUUGCUAUUCAUCUCAUGCAACUGCAGCCAAUCUUGGCUGCCAGGUGAAACACGAUGUUGAAACAGAGAAGCAGCCUCAAAGAAGUACAAGCUCUCAAACCGUGAAUGGCUUUGUGGAUCAAAACCAGCAUUUUGAAUUACACCUGGAAAUGAAGAAGAGAGCGGCAAAGUCCCCAGAGCGCAGAUGCAAGGACAAGAAGGAGGAGUGGUGGCAGGGCCGGUGGUCCCACCCUUGUCUGCUGAGGCUUUUGCAGGUUGGCUCUGAGCACAUCAGAUAUGAUUGGGAGCAGCUGCAAACUGAGCCCAGUGCAGUGGUCCCAAUACAUUCCAGAUGAUGAAUAUGAUGCAGACUUACUGGAAGGAAAAUAUAUUUCUGAAGAGAAAAACAAUUACUUCUCAAAGCAAGACAAUGAAGCUGAACCGACAGUACGUGGGCAUAAAAUAGAACAGAACUUUUGGGCAAUGGCUUUAACUUCUAAUAAAUCACCCACCUGGAGAUCCUUUUGCAAGUGAGUUUCGAUGUAUCAGACCCCAAAUAUUUUCAGAGGUACAUAAAGUUGAAAAAUUAUGCAUUUAAACCUUGAUUUCUCCCCAAAGGGACAAAUACUUUGUUGUGUCAUAGCCUCCAAUUUUCAUCUUAGCAGAAAGGUGCCUUUGCCACUCCAAACAACACGUGGGCUCUCUCACGGAAGUUAUGUAAAAAAGGCUUGGAAACACCACUUGAUACAGUGGGUUUCACUGUCUGAGUCUUCAGAGGGGACUUGAACGAAAUUUGCAAAAACAUGUCAAAAGUUAAGUGGCGAAAAUCAGCUUAAAUGCCUAAUUUUAAUUUUGUUUGUUCUCUUUGUUGUUUCAUUGUGGUGGGAGGGAAGAAGCUGUCUUUUUUCUCCCUGUCCUUUCAUUUUGUUUGGGAGAAAAUGGAUGUUGGUGAAAAGAAGAGAGCUCUGGCAGGGACGGGAAAGAGGUUGUUUAUUCUGUUUUGUUUUCUUUAGAAAGGGGCAACUCUUCUAAAACUGGUGAUGAUCCAGUUAAAGGGGGACUCCGGGUGGGGAAGAGAAAAGAAAACUAAUAAUCAGCCUCUAAAUGACAAGUUUUCUCUUGAACAAAAGAGCAACAGGAGGCAGUGCAGGCAGGGGGUCAGUGCCCAGGGGUAAUGUGACCAAAACAAUGGCUGGAGAAUGUGUGAAGCUUUUGCCACUCCAGAAACUGCUGCCCCAGUGCCUUCACUGAGGGACUGCAAGGACCAAACCUGAUCCAGCGCUGGGCAAUGUGUGGUGCCACUUCUGGAGUCCUCCAAAUUGUAGGCAAUGAUUGACUGUGGGUAAUGGAAAAAAGAAUUGAAGGCUUGCGAGAGAAUCCCCCUCAGUUCUGAAUGACAUGUAUGAUUGAACAGCCCCAGCCAAUAAAGCAGAGCCCCUGCCAGCAACGGGGCUAAAGGUGGGGUUUAAAGUGACUUCAAUUAAAGAUGGAGACUGCUUGGCAGUGUCUGUGCUUCUCUUGCACUUGGUUAAUUGUCUGUUGGGGAAAGCCAGCGGUGCUGGAUAAACUGAAGCGAGGUGAUUUUAAAGUAUUAUGAGCGUUCACGCGGAAGUUCAUUCUGGUUUAGACUAAAUUGGUUUUAAUUUCAAUUCAUGUAACUUCUGUGUAGACGGGGCCUAUGGCUUGCCAUUUCGCAGCAAUGGUGAAUUUAUAGCAUAUGUGCUCCAAAUGGACUAUCAUGGAAAUUCUCCUGGUAUUUGCUCCAAGUCCAGUUCCAGCUGUCGGUGGAGAUGGAGGAGCAGAAUAGACCACUCACAUGGCCUCCCAUGUAAUGCAGAUUGGAUCUAUUGUCAGUCAGAUGGACUGGUGGUGUGGGAGCAGUGUGAAGCCAGUUCUUUCACUACAUGGUGUGUAAAGCAAUGAGGCAGACAAAAGCUGGAUUUAAAUUAGGGAAUAUUUCUGCCAGAUUUCAUUCUCUGAAGCAGAAAAAUAAAACACUUAAUAUGUCUGGCAAUGUUUAUUCUGUGCACAGUGUUUUAACUGAUCAUAAAAGAAAAACUACGUGUGAACAUUAUCUAGCAACUUCAUCAUAUUCUGAGGAGAUGAGAGAGUAUGAUUCCACCAUGGUUUGAAAAAGUAUUAGAUUUAGAAAGUGGAUACAAUAUGGCAAGAAAACAAGGUGGCAAGAGGAAAAGAAAAAAAAAAGGUUCCUUUUGAUUAGGUAGGAAUUACCAGUUAUAAUCAGCAAAAUUCUUUCUGCCCCAAAGGCUCCAUUUUGAAAGUCCUUGGUGUCCUCAGUGUCCUGAUCAAUGGCCAGAGGCUUCCCACUUUGCCUUCUUGCUGCUUAUUCAAAGGAAAGAAAGAUCUGAAUGGUUGGAAAAUAUAUGUGCUGCUCAUGCACUAACUGCAUGUGCAUGAAAAUAAAAGAAUUCCUUGCCUGGGCACUGUGGGUAUCUGUGCUGAUAAGGAGGUAGUAACUCUCAUUGCAUGCAUAUUGGCCCUUUGAAGAUUUGGCCCUGAAUUCUGCUGGUGAAGUAUUUUCCAUGACUUUUCCACUGUAUCUUCUUAGAUACAGUGCUCCAAUCAUCCAAUACCUUGACAGAAAUAGAAGACACUGUUAAAAAUAAUUCAAAGAAAUAAUACAAGACCAUUUUUAAUUCCAAAUGAUUGAAAGAGCAAGUAUCAGCUACUGUGUAUGAAAACAUAGUUGUGUAAUCCAAGGAGGAAGACUGUCAAGAAUAACAACUUUGUAACUGGAUUUGGAAAAAUAAACAAUUCUUUCCUUUUUUGCAUAAUAAAUGUGGUGUGGGGAGCAAAAC